rnacentral:rRNA from 1 species
CUAAAGCGGAGGAAGGAAUGGGCAACGGUAGGUCAGUAUGCCCCGAAUAUCCCGGCUACACGCGAAGCUACAAUGGUUGGUACAAUGGGUAUCUACCCCGAAAGGGGACGGGAAAUCUCCUAAAACCAAUCUUAGUUCGGAUUGAGGGCUGCAACUCGCCCUCAUGAAGCUGGAAUCCGUAGUAAUCGCGUUUCAACAGAACGCGGUGAAUACGUCCCUGCUCCUU